rnacentral:rRNA from 1 species
ACGCUGGCGGCAUGUCUAAGGCAUGCAGUCGAAUGCAUUUAGUUGCAUGGCAAACGGGAGAGUACACUUUGGCAAUUUACCCCUUACUCGGGAAUAACCCAUUGAAAAAUGGGAUAAUACCCGAUAGUCUAAACUAUCUCAUGUUAGUUUAGUAAAGUUUUUCGGUAAGGGAGAAGCCUAAGGCCUAUCAGCUUGUUGGUGAGAUAAUAGCUCACCAAGGCUAUGACGGGUAGCGGGUGUGGGAGCACGAUCCGCCUCACUGGGACUGAGACACUGCCCAGACACCUACGGGUGGCUGCAGUCAAGAAUCUUCCACAAUGCACGAAAGUGUGAUGGAGCAAUGCCGCGUGAAGGAUGACACCCCUAGGGGCGUAAACUUCUUUUCUUAGGGAAAAAUUUUUGAUGUUACCUAAGGAAUAAGGGGCUGCUAACUACGUGCCAGCAGCAGCGGUAAUACGUAGGCCCCGAGCGUUAUCCGGUUUUAUUGGGCGUAAAGAGUCUGUAGACGGUUUAUUAAGUCAGAUGUUAAAUAUCUUAGCUCAACUAAGAACAGGCGUUUGAUACUGAUAAACUAGAGGACGGGAGAGGUAAGCGGAAUUGGUGGUGUAGUCGUUAUAAGCGUUAAUAUCACCAGGAACACCAAAUGCGAAAGCAGCUUACUAGAACGAUCCUGACGUUGAGAGACGAAAGCGUGGGUAGCGAAUGGGAUUAGAUACCCCAGUAGUCCACGCCGUAAACGAUGAGUACUAAGUAUUGGAAGUAUCGACCCUUUCAGUGCUGUUUUAAAAAAGUUAACACCUUAAGUACUCCGCCUGGGAAGUACGGCCGCAAGGCUAAAACCCAAAGGAAUUGACGGGGACCCGCACAAGCGGUGGAUCAUGUGGUUUAAUUCGAUAAUAAGCGGAAAACCUCACCAGGGCUUGACAUCCUGAUCAUAUACCUAAGAAACUAGGUAGUCAGUUCGGCUGGAUCAGUGACAGGUGUUGCAUGGUUGUCGUCAGCUCGUACCGUGAGGUGUACGGUUAAGUCCGAUAACGAGCGCAACCCCUAUUAUAUGUUUUACAUGUCAUAUAAAACUGCCGUGGAUUACACGGAGGAAGGUGGGGAUGACGUCAAAUCAGCAUGGCCCUUAUGCCCUGGGCUACACACGUGAUACAAUGGGAAGUACAAUAGGUUGCCAAACUGCAGAGUGGAGCUAAUCCUAAAAACUUCUCUCAGUUCGGAUUGUAGGCUGCAACUCGCCUGCAUGAAGUUGGAAUCGCUAGUAAUCGUGGAUAAGAAUGCCACGGUGAAUACGUUCUCGGGUCUUGUACACACCGCCCGUCACGUCAAGAGAGUUGGUAUACCCGAA